GAGGGAAAAAAUGUGAGCAAAGUAAUUUACACAGCCAGACACAGGCUAAAGUAAAAUCUUCUUUUAAAAUGAUUGGUAUGCUUUUAUUUUAAUGGUAUAUCAUUACUAAAAAUGAGUACAAAU